GACGAACGCUGGCGGCGUGCCUAAUACAUGCAAGUAGAACGCUGAAGGAGGAGCUUGCUUCUCUGGAUGAGUUGCGAACGGGUGAGUAACGCGUAGGUAACCUGCCUGGUAGCGGGGGAUAACUAUUGGAAACGAUAGCUAAUACCGCAUAAUAGCAGUUGUUGCAUGACAACUGUUUGAAAGGUGCAAUUGCACCACUACCAGAUGGACCUGCGUUGUAUUAGCUAGUUGGUGGGGUAACGGCUCACCAAGGCGACGAUACAUAGCCGACCUGAGAGGGAGAUCGGCCACACUGGGACUGAGACACGGCCCAGAACUCUACGGGAGGCAGCAGUAGGGAAACUUCGGAAAUGGACGGAAGUCUGACCGAGCAACGCCGCGUGAGUGAAGAAGGGUUUCGGAUCGUAAAGCUCUGUUGUAAGAGAAGAAAGAGUGUGAGAGUGGAAAGUUCACACUGUGACGGUAUCUGAACAGAAAGGGACGGCUAACUACGUG
rnacentral:rRNA from 1 species